rnacentral:rRNA from 1 species
GACGUAGGGCGCGAGCGUUGUCCGGAUUUAUUGGGCGUAAAGAGCUCGUAGGCGGCUUGUCGCGUCGACUGUGAAAACCCGCGGCUCAACCGCGGGCCUGCAGCCAAUACGGGCAGGCUAGAGUUCGGUAGGGGAGACUGGAAUUCCUGGUGUAGCGGUGAAAUGCGCAGAGUAAUCAGGAGGAACACCGGUGGCGAAGGCGGUUCUCUGGGCAUGAUCUGACGCUGGAGGAGCGAAAGUGUG